GGCUUCGGCUAUCACUUUUGGAUGGUCCCGCGGCGUAUUAGCUAGAUGGUGGGGUAACGGCUCACCAUGGCAAUGAUACGUAGCCGACCUGAGAGGGUAAUCGGCCACAUUGGGACUGAGACAACGGCCCAAACUCCUACGGGAGGCAGCAGUAGGGAAUCUUCCACAAUGGACGAAAGUCUGAUGGAGCAACGCCGCGUGAGUGAAGAAGGGUUUCGGCUCGUAAAACUCUGUUGUUAAAGAAGAACAUAUCUGAGAGUAACUGUUCAGGUAUUGACGGUAUUUAACCAGAAAGCCACGGCUAACUACGUGCCAGCAGCCGCGGUAAUACGUAGGUGGCAAGCGUUGUCCGGAUUUAUUGGGCGUAAAGCGAGCGCAGGCGGUUUUUUAAGUCUGAUGUGAAAGCCUUCGGCUCAACCGAAGAAGUGCAUCGGAAACUGGGAAACUUGAGUGCAGAAGAUGGACAGUGGAACUCCAUGUGUAGCGGUGAAAUGCGUAGAUAUAUGGAAGAACACCAGUGGCGAAGGCGGCUGUCUGGUCUGUAACUGACGCUGAGGCUCGAAAGUAUGGGUAGCAAACAGGAUUAGAUACCCUGGUAGUCCAUACCGUAAACGAUGAAUGCUAAGUGUUGGAGGGUUUCCGCCCUUCAGUGCUGCAGCUAACGCAUUAAGCAUUCCGCCUGGGGAGUACGGCCGCAAGGCUGAAACUCAAAGGAAUUGACGGGGGCCCGCACAAGCGGUGGAGCAUGUGGUUUAAUUCGAAGCUACGCGAAGAACCUUACCAGGUCUUGACAUACUAUGCAAUCUAAGAGAUUAGACGUUCCCUUCGGGGACAUGGAUACAGGUGGUGCAUGGUUGUCGUCAGCUCGUGUCGUGAGAUGUUGGGUUAA
rnacentral:rRNA from 1 species